CUACGGGAGGCACCAGUGAGGAAUCUUCCGCAAUGGGCGAAAGCCUGACGGAGCGACACCGCGUGGAGGACGAAGGCCUUUUGGUUGUAAACUCCUUUUCUGGGGGAAUAAAUGAUGAAGGUACCCCAGGAAUAAGCACCGGCUAACUACGUGCCAGCAGCCGCGGUAAUACGUAGGGUGCAAGCGUUAUCCGGAAUUAUUGGGCGUAAAGCGUUCGUAGGUGGUUUAAAAAGUCUAUGGUUAAAUCUGGUCGCUCAACGAUCAAAUCGCUGUAGAAACUUUUAAACUGGAGGAUGGCAGGGGCAACUGGAAUUCCACAUGUAGGGGUAAAAUCCGUUGAUAUGUGGAGGAACACCAAAAGCGAAGGCAGGUUGCUGGGCCAUUCCUGACACUGAGGAACGAAAGCGUGGGGAGCAAACAGGAUUAGAUACCCCCGUAGUC
rnacentral:rRNA from 1 species